CCACAGCUACAACCGCACAGAACAAGUAGUAAGUACGAAAGUCACUUGGGAUGGCGAGUCUAAGUAUAUUA
rfam:Enterococcus sp. 2G9_DIV0600 scaffold00001, whole genome shotgun sequence.